rnacentral:rRNA from 1 species
AGUGAACGCUGGCGGUAGGCCUAACACAUGCAAGUCGAACGGCAGCACAGUAAGAGCUUGCUCUUACGGGUGGCGAGUGGCGGACGGGUGAGGAAUACAUCGGAAUCUACUUUUUCGUGGGGGAUAACGUAGGGAAACUUACGCUAAUACCGCAUACGACCUACGGGUGAAAGCAGGGGAUCUUCGGACCUUGCGCGAUUGAAUGAGCCGAUGUCGGAUUAGCUAGUUGGCGGGGUAAAGGCCCACCAAGGCGACGAUCCGUAGCUGGUCUGAGAGGAUGAUUAGCCACACUGGAACUGAGACACGGUCCAGACUCCUACGGGAGGCAGCAGUGGGGAAUAUUGGACGAUGGGCGCAAGCCUGAUCCAGCCAUACCGCGUGGGUGAAGAAGGCCUUCGGGUUGUAAAGCCCUUUUGUUGGGAAAGAAAAGCAGCAGGUUAAUACCCCGCUGUUCUGACGGUACCCAAAGAAUAAGCACCGGCUAACUUCGUG